CUACGGAGGGUGCAAGCGUUAAUCGGAAUUACUGGGCGUAAAGCGUUCGUAGGCGGUUUGUUAAGUUAGAUGUGAAAGCCCCGGGCUCAACCUGGGAACUGCAUUUAAAACUGGCAAACUCGAGUUUAGGAGAGGGAAGUGGAAUUUCAGGUGUAGCAGUGAAAUGCGUAGAGAUCUGAAGGAACACCAGUGGCGAAGGCGACUUCCUGGACUAAAACUGACGCUGAGGAACGAAAGCGUGGGUAGCAAACGGGAUUAGAAACCCCUGUAGUCC
rnacentral:rRNA from 1 species